AGGGACAGGAAUCAGAUGGGCAUAGGGCAUCUGGUCCAUGAUCAUCCUUUGUUCGUGCUGAUCUCUGAUGAAAUAUCUGAAGAAGAAGGAGAACACCAUGUGAAGCUGGAGGCAGAGAUUGGAGUGACACGCCUACAAACUGAGGGGCACCAAAGACCACCAGCAACCACCAGAAGCUGGAAGAGGCAUGGCACAGAUGACCACAAGAGCCUCCAGAAGGAACCAACCAUGCUGACGCCUUGAUUUUGGACUUCCAGCCUCUCAAAUUGUGAGCAAAUAAAUUUUUGUUGUUUUAAGCUACCCAGUUGUGGUACACUGUUAUGGUAGCCUGAUAUAGUUUGGCUGUGUCCCCAUGCAAAUCUCAUCUUGAAUUGUAGCUCCCAUAAUUCCCACAUGUUAUGAGAGGGAUCCGGUGGGAGGUAAUUGAAGCAUGGAGAAAGGUCUUUCCCAUGCUGUUCUCAUGAUAGCGAACACAUCUCAUGAGAUCUGAUGGUUUUAUAAAUGGGAGUUUCCCUGUACAUGCUCCCUUUGCCUGCCACCAUGUGAGACGUGACUUUGUUCCUCCUUCACCUUCUGCCAUGAUUGUGAGCCCUCCUCAGCCAUGUAGAACUGUGAUUCCAUUAAACCUCUUUCCUUUAUAAAUUA